CUAGAUCCAAAUACUCUCAAUUAAGAUCUAAAGCUCUUAAAAUAUUGUAUUAAUGCUUUCUCAACAAUACAAAUCGUGAAUUAAUAUAUAAAAGUCCUAGAAACCAAGUUGUAGGUGAAUCAGAGUCCAGAAAACACUUCAAAAUGCAAAAAGGGCCUAGGCCAGAUAACCUGUCGCUCGAGUGACAAGCAAUAGCUCCAUCGCUUGAGAGCUAGGCCAAGUCUUGGGAGAAAAUUCAAAGGCGCCGUUCGAGUGGCAGGCUAGGAAAAAUGCGACGAAUUUUCUUCCUCAUUUGGUAACUUUGAUCUCUUCAAGACCAUUUCAACCAAAACUUCAAUACCACAAGAGUUUGGGCCAAACUACAACAUGAUAGAU
rnacentral:lncRNA from 1 species